rnacentral:lncRNA from 1 species
GCAACCUUCAGAGACAAACAAUCUGUCAUGCUGAAUUCACUCAAAAAAUGUCCUACAUGCUACAACUAGUCCCCAGGCUGUUGGGUAUGCUGUGCAGCAAUCAAAUAGUUCCACGGGGGAGAAAGACAAUACUAAACCUGACAGCUGACGAAAUUUCCGGUAUGUGUUGCUAUAUAUGGAUAACCUUAGAGAUUAACCUGUUUCCGUUCCACAUUUUUCUUGGCAUGUAAAUUCAUGUUGUUUGCAUAUAUUGACUAUUCAUUAUUAUGUAUAAUGUGUUGAAGGACAGAUUUGAUAGCAUAAGCCAUUAAGCUCAAGUCACUUUGUUUGUUUUGUUUUUGUCGAAACCACUUUUUUUGAAAAUAAAAAAUUUUAGGUUGUCGACUUUUAAAAAAAAUGAAAAUUGAGAGUCGCCACCAAUCUUUAUUAAGAUGUGAUUGAAUCACCUAAAACGACUUUGGUCUACGAGUUUUUUAGAAAAACGUGUUCGGGAGUCAGUUACAUUCGAGGAAGGAUUAGCACCCUCGUAACACCCAAAAAUUGGUACCAAAUUGAUUAAUCAAUGUCUUGAAGUCGAGAGUAAAAAUGCGAUCCUUAAUUAAAUAAAAUUAUUUAUUAAACUUCUCAUUUUGAAAUAAGAAAGAUAUCACACCCAAUACGUUAGGACACAACAUUUUACUCUUUUCAUAAUGAGUUAGUCAAAAACUCGUAUAAUAAAAUUUAAGAAAAUAUCUAAUUGUUUAAAAUUUAUGAAGAAAUCACGGCCCAAUACGUUAGGGCACAAUUUCUUAAAAUCCAAACAUUUAAUAUUUCCUUUAUUUUUUAAGAAAAAUCUUUAUCUCGAGAAAUCAGCGUGUCACAUCCAAUACGUUAGGACACAACAUAUUGAAUUCUCGAUGAUAAGUUUUAUUUUGUUUAGUUUAAAGAGCAAUCCUCAAUUGUUAGAUUUUACAAAAAAAUCGGAACCCAAUAGUUAGGGCUCAAUUUUCUUGAAAAAAUCCUAAAUACGAGUAUUAUCUUUAUUUUGAAAAAUUCCAUUUUUAAAUUCGAAUAAAAAAUGCCGUAAUGUUAUGUUGAAUGUAUGAAUAGAUGCCCCUUAAACAAAUAUCAAUAAUAAAUACAACAAUUACAUAGAAAUAAUAUGAAUAAAUAAAGAUAAUGACAUGCAAAAUAUCAAAUAAAUGGGCAAGAUAAUAAUAAAAAAUAUGCAAACAUAAAUUGAUAAACAAAUGAUUGAAAUAAACAAAAAAGAUGUAUACAUGUACACAUAAAAAUAUAUAGGUUUGAAAUAAUUAAAUAAUAUCUACAUUAUCAAAACUAAUUAAAUAAAUAAAAUAUGUGUAUAUAUAAAUAUGCUAAAAAUAUUAGUUUUUUAAAAAAGGAUAUAAAUACGUACAUAAAAAUAACUAUACAUAUAUAUAUAGAUAAAAUAAUAAUAAUUACAUAUAAAAAUAAAAAAAUAAUUACAUUAUCAAAAUUAACUAAUUUUAAGAAAAAUAUAAAAAAAAACUAAAUUGAACUGCAAGUAAAAACAUCUAAGGUAAAUCCGAAAAUAAAUAAAGUCUGGAGGACUAAAUUGAACGCGCGAAUUACAUAAAGGGGCUGGAAGAGAAAUUUUCUCUUCUCCUCUAAAACGGCGCCGUUCAAAAGGGUUAAAUUGAAAGUUAAAAUAAAUUAAAGGGCGAAUUUAAAAGAUAAAAAACUAAUUGUAAGUAUAUUAAAAGGCGGAGGGGCCAAAAGCAUAAUUUGCCCCUCCGCAUGAAAAACACGCGGAUCCUAUGUCCGGGUUGGGUCGACGCUCGGAUCCCCCUCCUUCAAACGGUGCCGUUUUCAAUUGGCUAUUUAAGCCAAAAUUAUUAAAAAAUUUCAUUUCUCAUUCCUUCAAAAAAAAAAUAGAAAAUCCUUCAAAAUCCGGUCAUUGGCCACCGCGCCGGCUGCCGAUCUCUGGCGACGCCGCCGCCGUAUGCGGUGGCCAGAAAAGGGGAAAAUCCCCUACUCGGCCUUUCAGACCCCCUUAUGCUCAAAUCUGGGUUCAAAUCCUUCAAAUUAUCAACAAAAAGCCUCGAAGAAUCAUGAAACCUUUUGGUUUCUGGCCACCGAUCCUCGGGGGUGGCUCCCUCGGCCGUUUCACUGAGAUCUGGGCACCUUCAAAAGGUUACCUCUUUCCUUUUUAUUUGUUUUUAUUCGUAUAAAAGUAAAUAAAACAAUAUAUAAAAAAAAACUGUAGAUACCAACCUUUGAAUCGAUUGUAUUGCUCUUGGUAUUGAGUUUGCUGUUUUCGGUUGUGGAAAUAGUUGUUUUUUAUUGCUUUCGAAUUCGGGAUCCCCUUACAGUGUUCGAUGGCCCUUUUUUAUAGCCGAUAAUAUCAAAAAAUAAAGAAACAAAUCAUAUUCCAUAUCUUCUUGAUCUGUAAUCUUUGAUUCUUAUUUCAUUUUGUGUGCAGAUGAAUAUCCGGGUGGAGAUUCGGCCUGCGUGGAAGAUUGGAGUUGCGGCGGCCGAAGCUUAGAAACCCUAGGGUUUUUCAUCUGUUUUGGGCCAUUGUAAUUUGGGGCACUGCUUUGUUUUGGUUUGGGCCUUGUGGCCUGUUUGUAAUCGGACUCUAUGGACUGUUUUCAUUUAUUUGUUUAUCUGGUACGGGCCGAGUACA